UUAAAUUGAAGAGUUUGAUCAUGGCUCAGAUUGAACGCUGGCGGCAGGCCUAACACAUGCAAGUCGAACGGUAACAGAAAGCAGCUUGCUGCUUUGCUGACGAGUGGCGGACGGGUGAGUAAUGUCUGGGAAACUGCCUGAUGGAGGGGGAUAACUACUGGAAACGGUAGCUAAUACCGCAUAACGUCGCAAGACCAAAGAGGGGGACCUUCGGGCCUCUUGCCAUCGGAUGUGCCCAGAUGGGAUUAGCUAGUAGGUGGGGUAACGGCUCACCUAGGCGACGAUCCCUAGCUGGUCUGAGAGGAUGACCAGCCACACUGGAACUGAGACACGGUCCAGACUCCUACGGGAGGCAGCAGUGGGGAAUAUUGCACAAUGGGCGCAAGCCUGAUGCAGCCAUGCCGCGUGUAUGAAGAAGGCCUUCGGGUUGUAAAGUACUUUCAGCGGGGAGGAAGGGAGUAAAGUUAAUACCUUUGCUCAUUGACGUUACCCGCAGAAGAAGCACCGGCUAACUCCGUGCCAGCAGCCGCGGUAAUACGGAGGGUGCAAGCGUUAAUCGGAAUU
rnacentral:rRNA from 1 species